rnacentral:rRNA from 1 species
UACAGAGGGUGCGAGCGUUGUCCGGAAUCACUGGGCGUAAAGGGCGCGUAGGUGGCGCCGCAAGUCCAUGGUGAAAGCUCGAUGCUCAACAUCGAGUCGGCCACGGAGACUGCGGGGCUCGAGCACUGUAGGGGCAGAUGGAAUUCCGGGUGUAGCGGUGGAAUGCGUAGAGAUCCGGAAGAACACCGGUGGCGAAGGCGGUCUGCUGGGCAGUUGCUGACACUGAGGCGCGACAGCGUGGGGAGCAAACAGGG